rnacentral:rRNA from 1 species
GAUGAACGCUGGCGGCGUGCCUAAUACAUGCAAGUCGAGCGAACAGAUGAGGAGCUUGCUCCUCUGACGUUAGCGGCGGACGGGUGAGUAACACGUGGAUAACCUACCUAUAAGACUGGGAUAACUUCGGGAAACCGGAGCUAAUACCGGAUAAUAUAUUGAACCGCAUGGUUCAAUAGUGAAAGACGGUUUUGCUGUCACUUAUAGAUGGAUCCGCGCCGCAUUAGCUAGUUGGUAAGGUAACGGCUUACCAAGGCAACGAUGCGUAGCCGACCUGAGAGGGUGAUCGGCCACACUGGAACUGAGACACGGUCCAGACUCCUACGGGAGGCAGCAGUAGGGAAUCUUCCGCAAUGGGCGAAAGCCUGACGGAGCAACGCCGCGUGAGUGAUGAAGGUCUUCGGAUCGUAAAACUCUGUUAUUAGGGAAGAACAAAUGUGUAAGUACCUAUGCACGUAUUGACGGUACCUAAACAGAAAGCCACGGCUAACUACGUG